rnacentral:rRNA from 1 species
CAAUCAAACCGGGAGAUAGCUGGUUCUCCCCGAAAGCUAUUUAGGUAGCGCCUCGUGAAUUCAUCUCCGGGGGUAGAGCACUGUUUCGGCUAGGGGGCCAUCCCGGCUUACCAACCCGAUGCAAACUGCGAAUACCGGAGAAUGUUAUCACGGGAGACACACGGCGGGUGCUAACGUCCGUCGUGAAGAGGGAAACAACCCAGACCGCCAGCUAAGGUCCCAAAGUCAUGGUUAAGUGGGAAACGAUGUGGGAAGGCCCAGACAGCCAGGAUGUUGGCUUAGAAGCAGCCAUCAUUUAAAGAAAGCGUAAUAGCUCACUGGUCGAGUCGGCCUGCGCGGAAGAUGUAACGGGGCUAAACCAUGCACCGAAGCUGCGGCAGCGAACGUAUCACCCAAGACAACUUUACGGAGUUGACGAUUGACGGAGCGAAGCGACGUCAAAGCGUUCAUUAAAGUCGAGUUGGCUUAGGGAUACGUUCGUUGGGUAGGGGAGCGUUCUGUAAGCCUGUGAAGGUGUGUCGUGAGGCAUGCUGGAGGUAUCAGAAGUGCGAAUGCUGACAUAAGUAACGAUAAAGCGGGUGAAAAGCCCGCUCGCCGGAAGACCAAGGGUUCCUGUCCAACGUUAAUCGGGGCAGGGUGAGUCGACCCCUAAGGCGAGGCCGAAAGGCGUAGUCGAUGGGAAACGGGUUAAUAUUCCCGUACUUGGUGUUACUGCGAAGGGGGGACGGAGAAGGCUAUGUUGGCCGGGCGACGGUUGUCCCGGUUUAAGCGUGUAGGUGUGUGUUCCAGGUAAAUCCGGUUCACUUUAACACUGAGGCGUGACGACGAGGCACUACGGUGCUGAAGCAACAAAUGCCCUGCUUCCAGGAAAAGCCUCUAAGCAUCAGGUAACAUCAA